UACAGAGGUGGCAAGCGUUGUUCGGAAUUACUGGGCGUAAAGGGCGCGUAGGCGGCCUUCUAAGUCAGACGUGAAAUCCCCCGGCUUAACCUGGGAACUGCGUCUGAUACUGGAGGGCUUGAGUAUGGGAGAGGGAUGUAGAAUUCCAGGUGUAGCGGUGAAAUUCGUAGAUAUUCGGAAGAACACCAGUGGCGAAGGCGGCUCACUGGACUGGUAUUGACGCUGAGGUGCGAAAGCUAGGGGAGCAAACGGG
rnacentral:rRNA from 1 species